rnacentral:rRNA from 1 species
GGUUAAUUUCGGUUGACCCCGAGAGUGGCGAACGGGUGCGUAACACGUAGAUGACCUACCCUGGAGAGGGGGACAACCACGGGAAACUGUGGCUAAUACCCCGGAUGACUGGAGGAUUAGAGGCCUCUGGUCUAAAGGCUCCGGCGCUCUGGGAGGGGUCUGCGGCCCAUCAGCUAGUUGGUAGGGUAAAGGCCUACCAAGGCGAAGACGGGUAGGGGGCGUGACGGCGUGGCCCCCCACACUGGUACUGAAAGACGGACCAGAUACCUACGGGUAGCAGCAGCAAGGGAUAUUGCACAAUGGGCGAAAGCCUGACGCAGCAACGCCGCGUGGAGGACGAAGGCCUUCGGGUUGUAAACUCCUUUUCUGGAAGAAUAAGCUUGUCAAAGGGCGGGCUUGCAGGUACUCCAGGAAGAAGAACCGGCUAACUACGUGCCAGCAGCCGCGGUAAAACGUAGGGUUCGAGCGUUAUCCGGAAUUACUGGGCGUAAAGGGCGUGUAGGCGGCUUAGGAAGUCGGACGUAAAAGCUCCCGGCCCAACUGGGAGAGGCCGUUCGAGACUCUUGAGCUAGAGGCUAGUAGAGGCAAGUGGAAUUCCCGGUGUAGUGGUGAAAUGCGUAGAUAUCGGGAGGAAGACCAGAGGCGAAGGCGGCUUGCUGGGUUAGGCCUGACGCUGAGACGCGAAAGCCAGGGGAGAGAACGGGAUUAGAAACCCUGGUAUUCCUGGCUGUAAACGAUGUCAACUAGGUGCGCGGCGUACCCAAUCCCUGCGUGCUGCCGCCAACGCAGUAAGUUGACCGCCUGGGGAGUACGGCCGCAAGGCUAAAACUCAAAGAAAUUGACGGGGGCCCACACAAGCAGCGGAGCGUGUGGUUUAAUUCGAGGCAACGCGAAGAACCUUACCAGGGUUGGACAUGGCGGUGGUAGGGAGGUGAAAGCCGACCGACUCUUCGGAGAGCCGCCACAGGUGCUGCAUGGCUGUCGUCAGCUCGUGCCGUGAGGUGUUAGGUUAAGUCCUGUAACGAGCGCAACCCACGUCGUCAGUUAUACGUGUCUGGCGAGACUGCCGGUGAUAAGCCGGAGGAAGGUGUGGAUGACGUCAAGUCAGCAUGGCCUUUAUAUCCUGGGCUACACACACGCUACAAUGGCCGGUACAAUGGGUAGCCAAGCCGCGAGGCGGAGCCAAUCCCGCAAAGCCGGUCUCAGUUCGGAUUGCAGGCUGCAACUCGCCUGCAUGAAGUCGGAGUUGCUAGUAACCGCAGGUCAGCCACACUGCGGUGAAUACGUUCCCGGGCC